rnacentral:lncRNA from 1 species
GUGUAUGGUGCCUUCAAAUAUACUUUUCUGACCUUUUCUCAUCUUUUAACCCUUCAAAUGUUAACUAAACUUGUCAAGUGGUAAAGGAUAGAUUAACGUAAGCUCGUGUUGGUUGACUUAGUGAAAGAUUUUCAACUCAAGAAGUAUUGGCACAUAGUGGGGGAAGAGAUCCAAGCUUUAGCCCUUGAUAUUCGAAAUGAAGCUAAGUGACCUGUAAACCUCAACAAAACUUUCAUAGCCUUGAUUCCAAAAUGCAAGAACCCGUUUUCCCCAA